rnacentral:rRNA from 1 species
UACGAAGGGGGCUAGCGUUGUUCGGAUUUACUGGGCGUAAAGCGCACGUAGGCGGAUCGUUAAGUCGGGGGUGAAAUCCUGGAGCUCAACUCCAGAACUGCCUUCGAUACUGGCGAUCUUGAGUCCGGAAGAGGUGAGUGGAAUUCCUGGUGUAGCGGUGAAAUGCGCAGAUAUCAGGAGGAACACCCGUGGCUAAGGCGGCUCUCUAGUACGGUACUGACGCUGAGACGCGAAAGCGUGGGGAGCGAACAGG